AGUGCUGCACAGUGUUUCUAUGUGAGAAGUAUAGCAGGAAAAAGAAUCAAAGCUGAGCUUGCAUCUGUAGACACUGGAACUAUUGGCCUCAAGUUGAUAAUUUCCGUUACUUCUGCCACGCGAGUGCACAGAAUGUCAUAAUUCAAGCUGGAAGAUCAUCUACAGAUCAGCAUAGAAUCCAAGAUUUUCCUCAACACUCCAAUUAUGCGCUCCUGUGCACUGCCCAUAUGUGAGGAGAGUGGUGGAUCAGCAUCCCAAGUGUAACCUUGGCUGUUGAUGGAGCUGUGCGCCUUAGUCCUUCACAACUGUGCACUUCGCAACUGGUAAGUUGUUGGGAAUACGAGACACUGCAAUGACACUCUCUCCAUUGACUGCUGUCUGAUCACACAGUUGUUUUUCGACAUGCCUUUUACAUCUUGGUGGGUGCCCAUUCUAGGAUCAGUUGCUAGUCUUUCAAGAUUUCAGGAUUUUCCACCAUACCCUGGAUUCACCCUGCAGUUUUACCUAGCAACUGUGUGUUGGUUAGAGAAAUUGCAGCUCAAGUCCAGUGUCUUCCCCACAUCUAUCUCAGGAAGCAGGGUAUUCUGGGAUGUUCUGUUGAUACUGAUGCUUUGCAAGAGACUGUGUUGAGGCUGAGAACUGGAGUUUACCUUUUCUUUACGGUUAAGGGCUGUACAGUGAAAUUCUCUCAUUUUCCAGAAGACUUGUUCUAGAGCUGUGAGAAGCAGACCUGUAGAAUUUCCCUAAACAUAUCACCAACAAGGUCCCAUCCUGAGUGCAGCUUCUGUGUGAGGUGUUCAUUGCCAGAGCUUUGUAUGCUGUGAAGAUAUCUCUCAACAGAAGUGGGAUUUGGGCUUUAUUAUCCAGCAGUGGGAUCUGUUCAGCAAAACACUUGAAGUGGGAGUGAUAGAGAGCAGCCUCUGAAGUUGCUGUUUUUUCAUGAUUGUCUGAAUGUCAUUAUGCUCAAUUGGUGUUGCAAGUGUAAGAGUAAUGCCAUCAUUCCAUGCUUCAAUCUGAUAACCCAUUGCUCUUCUACCUGAUCUCUCCAUUACACCAGCAGAUGAUGAAUUGCCAUGGAUGAUCAAAUAACUCUGAUCGGGCUAAGGAUACGUUGCUGUGGUCAUUGAACAUGGCAUAUAUCUUGAAAGCAUUCUCACAAUGGCAUUUAGGAUGCACUUUAAGCAUAUCUUGGAACAGGAUUUAGUGACUACACUGUUCUUACCAUCAUCUGUGCAUGAAGAGUUUGCAGACAGCAAAGUUUCUUCCUCUACCUCCCUGCCCUGCUUUGAAGUGUGAUCUGAAACCUUGGAUGUAGGGCUGUAAUAUGAAUGUUGUCAUGGCAUUCAUCACACUUCAAUGUGCAUUAUGCGUGAGAGAUGAUGAGGAACAGCAUCUGAAGCAAAUCCCUUGCUCUUUCAGUUUUAACCAUUGGGGAAUUCCUUGUGUGGUGCUGGACAGGUAAAAAUGAGGUUUUGGGGUACUUGGAGACAAUGUUCCCUCUUAAGGUGUGCGUGCCCACACAUCUUUUGCUACUAACACACAAAAGGUUGUCACCCUCUAUCUCAUUGGCAUUUUAAGUAUAUUUCACGAUCAUACACAAUCAAAUUUCCUAUUUCAGUUUCUGAUGAGGUUGGUAUUGACAACUUGGAGUUUGUGAUUUGUCUGCAAAUUUUAGAACUGGCUUAUUUAUACAGUUUUGAAGAAAAUAUUGAUUCAUUAUGUUGAAUUCCAAAGAAGCAAAGGGCGUGAAGCGCAAAAUAAUUUCUAGUUCAUUUAAAGCAGAAUGGCUUAUUAUCUUUAGAAUAGCUUCAGGUUUACUUCUAUUUAAAAAUUCACUGUGCACAUGUUGUCACUGGGCAAGAAUUUGCACAGCAUAGAAUUUUUACACACUCUGGUUGUUACAAAUUAGAAGGAACAUUGCUUAGAGGUGCAUGACAAAAUAGGCCAAAGUCAGCAUGGUUUCCUUUUGGGGAAAUCAUGCCUGACAAAUCUGUUGGAAUUCUUUGAGGAAAUAAUAGACAGAUGGACAAAUAAGAGUUAGUGGAUGGUGUUCAUUUGGAUUUUCAGAAGGUCUGUGACAGGUGCCACACAUGAAGCUGCUUAACAAGUUACAAGCCCAUGAUAUUACAGGAAAGAUAUUAGCAUGGAUAGAAGAUUGACUGACUGGCAGGAGGCAAAGUGUGGGAAUAAAGGGGCCCUUUCCUGAUUGGCUACCGGUGACUAGUGGUCUGCCACAGGGGUCAGUAUUGGGACUGCUUAUUUGUCAAUGAUUUGGAUGGAGAGAUUGAUGGCCAAGUUUGCAGGUGAUGUGAAAAUAGGUGGAAGGAUGGGUGGCAUUGAGAAAGCAGGGUGUCUGUAGAAGGACUUGGACAGAUUGGGAGAUUGGCAAAGAAGUUGGCAUGGAAUAUAUUGUAGAGAAGUGUAUGGGCAAGCACUUCAGUGGAAGGAGUAAAGGCAUAGAUUAUUUUCUAAAUAGGAAAAAUUAAUCAGAGGUCAAAGUGAUUUGGGAGUCCUCGUGCGGGAUUUCCUAAAGGUUAACUUGCAGGUUGAGUCAAUGGUAAGGAAGGCCUAUGCAAUGUAUGCAUUCAUUUCAAAGGGGCUAGAAUACAAAAGCAAGGAUGUAAUGUGAAGGCUUUAUAAGGCAUUGGUCAGGACUCAUGGAAUAUUAAGAAAAGACGCACUGGCAUUGGAGAGGGUUUCAAGGAGGUUCAUAAGAAUGACCCCAGGAAUGAAAUGGUUAACAUACGAGCAGCAUAUGGGACAUAAUAGAAUAGAGGGACAUCCAUUUAAAACAGAUAGGGGAGAAGUUUCUUUAGCUUGAGGGUGAUGAAUCUAUGCAAUUCAUUGCCAUAGAUGGCUGUGCAGGCCAAGUCAUUGGAUAUAUUUAAGGCUGAACUUGUUAGGUUCUUGAUAAACCAGGGAGUCAGGGGUUACAGGGAGAAUGGGUUUGAAGGGUUUAUGUCAAGUCACUUUUAUUGUCAUUUCGACCAUAACUGCUAUGUACAGUACAUAGUAAAAAUUAGAUAACGUUUUUCGGGACCAUGGUGUUACAUGACACAGUACAAAAACUAGACUGAACUACAUAAACAACAACAUAGAGAGAAAAAAAAAACAACUACACUAGGCUACAGACCUACCCAGGACUGCAUAAAGUGCACAAAACAGUGCAGACAUUACAAUAAAUAAUAAACAGGACAAUAGGGCAAGGUGUCAGUCCAGGCUCUGGGUAUUGAGGAGUCUAAUAGCUUGGGGGAAGAAACCGUUACGUAGUCUGGUCACGAGAGCCCGAAUGCUUCGGAGCCAUUUUCCAGGCGGCAGCAGGGAGAAGAGUUUGUAUGAGGGGUGCAUGGGGUCUUUCAUAAUGCUGUUUGCUUUGCAGAUGCAGUGUGUAGUGUAAAUGUCCGUAAUGGUGGGAAGAGCGACCCUGAUAAUCUUCUCAGCUGACCUCACUAUCCUCUGCAGGGUUUUUUAAUCCAAGAUGGUGCAAUUUCCGAACCAGUCAGUGAUGUAGCUGCUCAGGAUGCUCUCAAUACAACCCCUGUAGAAUGUGAUGAGGAUGGGGGGUGGGGGGGGGCAGAUGGACUUUCCUCAGCCUUCGCAAGAAGUAGAGACGCUGCUGGGCUUUCUUUGCCAUGGAGCUGGUGUUGAGGGACCAGGUGAGAUUCUCCACCAGGUGAACACCAAGCAAUUUGGUGCUCUUAACGAUCGCUACCGAGGAGCCGUCGAUGUUCAGCGGGGAGCGGUCACUCCAUGCCCUCCUGAAGUCAACAACCAUCUCUUUUGUUUUGUUCACAUUCAGAGACUGUCACUGCCAUUUGAGAACAACUUCUUCUGUGGGAUAUAUCUACCCUGCACCUUGUGAACUGUUCCCAGAAAAUUCAGCCACCUCUGCUUUGCCAUCAUCCCCACCGAUAUCCUCCUGUAAUCCAUCUGGGAAACCUCCUCUCUCAUGUCAGUGUAAUUCCCUUUAUUCCAUUGCGCUACAGAUAUAUGUGAGUUAAAUUGCACUACAAUUUCAAUCAUAUUAUGAUCAUCACCUCCUAAGGGUCCCUUUACUUUAAGUUCCCAAAUAAGAUCUGGGUUAUUACACAACACACAAUCUAAGAUGGCCUUUCUCCAAGUAGGCUCAUACACAAGCUGCUCUAAAAAGCUAUCUUGUAGGCAUUCAACAAAUUCUCUCUCUUGCGAUCUGACACCAAACUGAUUUUCCCAACCCCCUUACAUACUGAAGUCCCACAUUCCAACUGUGACAAUACCCUUAUUGCAUGCCUUUUCCAGCUCUCUUUGCAAUCUCAAUCCCACAUCAUGGCUACUAUUUGGAGGCCUAUAUAUAAUUGACCAGGUAAGAUUGACGAAAAAGCUGAUUGUGGACUUCAGGAAGGGUAAGACGGAGGAACACAUACCUAUCCUCAUAGAGGGAUCAGAAGUGGAGAGAAUGAGCAAUUUCAAAAGCAAAUGCUGAGGGUUUAUAAGGCAUUGGUCAGGCCUUACAGAGUAUUAUGAACAGUUUUUGGACCCUUUAUCUAAGAAAAGACAUGCUGACGUUGGAGAGAGUUUUGAGGAGGUUCAUGAGAAUGAUCCCGGGAAUGAAAGGGUUAACAUCUGAGAAGUGUUUGAUGGCUCUGGGCCACUACUCUCUGGAGUUUAGAAGAAUGAGGAGGGUUCUUAUUGAAACAUAUUGAAUAUUCUAAAGCAUAGAGUGAAUGUGGAGAAGAUGUUUCCUACAGCGAGCUCAGCUUCAGAAUAGAGGGACAUCCAUUUAAAACAGGGAUGGGGAGAAGUUUCUUUAGUUCGAGCAUUGCUUUUCACAUGGUGAAUGGUUGGAGACUAGAAUGUGCUGCCUGAAAAGGAUUUAUGCAGGCAGACAUUCACAACUCUUAAGCAGAAUUUGGACAAGCACUUGAGUACAAUGGCCAGUAUAAACAUGAUGGAUCAAAGGGCACAAGUCAUCACAUUUUUAGACAACCCUCUCAGAAACCUACUUUGCCAACUUAGGCUGCCACUAAAAUUCAUCACCAUCCACUGUUCUAUUAAGACAUGUAAACUAUGAUCCUCACCAACAAAAUGGCACAGACCCAACACCAGUGCAAAAUGCAAUCAAGGAAAACUAUGUCAUUGCAUCUGCGUGGUAAUACUGCACUUUGCAUUCAGCAAGAAUAGAGGUAGUCUACGAAAGGAGAGAGAACUGUUCAGUCUUCGCUGCCUUCUCAUCAGAACCAAGACCACUCUGGCCUAAUAUUACAACUCAGCCUGCAGGUGACGUACACUAGAAGGCUGAGCUCCAACCACAUUUACCUUCAGCACAGCUACAAGAGGAUAGAUCUUAUAUUAAGCACCCGGAAGGCAAAGGUUCUCCAGAUGUCUAUCGACAAUGUCAUUCUGACAACCAAGGUUUACAAAAAGCCAACUCUCACAGGCAUUAACAAAAUUUGCCACAGCACACCGCUUGUCUGCCUUAGGGAAAAAGUGUUCAAAAAUCAAGACCUCAAACGUGACCCAAACUUGCAGUUUAGAAUGCAAACCUCUCCCACAACUGCUUCAGGACAUGGAUAACUUACAGUUGAUAUCUCAAAGCGAUGGUGGUACCAACUCUAUUGCAGCACAACAGAAGUAAUAAGUAGAUCUGCAGGGAGCAGUUUGCAACAAGCUGUUGUAUGCUCUGGCAUGAUAAGAUGCACUCUCAAUCUUAUAAUCUAUCCCAUAAUGAUCUUGCACCUUAUUAUCUAUCUGUAUUGUACUUCCUCUGUAGCUGUUACACUUCAUUCUGCAUUAUUAUUGUACUACCUCAAUGCACUGAGUAAAGUAUUGAUCUGUAUGAACAGUAUGCAAGACAAGCUUUUCACUCUACCUCAAUACGUGACAAUAAUAAACCAAUUCCAAAAUCCUUCAAAUCUAGUGGCAAGACAGAUAAACCUACAGUGUGCCUACUUCUGAAUUAAAUUCUCAACAUCAAGGCUGAGAUCACGCUUAACCUGCUCACAACCUAGUCAAGAGUAACUGGAUGCCCGAACAGUAAAUCCACUAGCAAUGGUCUUGUGCCACCACUAAUGUGGAAUUUAAAAACUAAUCCUUUAAAUUUCACUUAUAGCUUUCUGAUGCUAACUUAAACAUACUUCCAAAACUCUGCAAAACUCUUAAAUAUUUAAGGAAGGAAAUUGAUUAAAGAACGAGUGUUGUUGGCUCAUACAGGACCAAAUGAAGUUAAUGGAAAUAAAACUUGCGGAAAGUCAAGUAGAUGACUGAAGGAAUAAUGUGUCUUACAGAUCGGGAUUAUCUUCCAUCUGACUGAAGGAUAUAGAACCAUAGAACAUUUCAGCACAGUAACAGGCCUUUUGGUCCUUGUUGGCAAAUCUUUAUGGGCAGAUCUUAAUUCAGAAUUCAUUACAGAACAGGAUAAAACUCUGGGUUACAUCAGGGUUCCCAAGAAUUGCCAUAACCUGAACUGGCAGGGACAGGCCACUGUGGCUGACAAUUAAAGUUAAGGACUGCAUAAAAGUCAAGGAAAGGGCAUAUAAGGUAGCAAAAGUGAGUGGGAAGUUGGAUGAUUGGGAAGCUUUUAAAAUCCAACAAAAGACAACCAAAAAGCCAUAGGAAGGGAAAAGAUUAAAUAUGAGGGCAAACUAGCCAAUAAUAUAAAGCAGGAUACAAAAAGUUUUUUCAGUUAUAUAAAGAGUAAAAGGGAGGUGAGAGUUGAUAUUGAACCACUGGAAAACAGUGCUGGUGAGGUAGUAAUGGGGGACAAAUGAAUGGCAGAUGAACUUAAUGAGUACUUUGCAUUGGUCUUCAUUGUGGAAGACUAGCAGUGUGCCAGAGUCAGUGAGUGUCAGGGAGCAGAAGUGAAUGCCAUUACUAUCACAAAGGAAAGAGUGCUAGGCAGACUCAGAGGUCUUAAGGUGCAAAGUCACCUGAACCAGAUGGACUACAUCCCAGAACCCUGAGAGAGGUUGCUGAAGAGAUAACAGGUGCAUUGGUCAUGAUCCUGCAAGAAUCACUUGAUUCUGGUAUGGUCCCAGAGGACUGGAAGAUUGCAAAUGUCACUCCACUUUUUAAGAAGGGAGGAAGGCAAAAAAAAAGGUAAUUAUAGUGUAGUUAGCCUAACCUAAGUGGUUGGGAAAGUGUUGGAGUAUAUCAUUAAGGAUGAGGUUUCAGGGUACUUAGAGUCUAAUGAUAAAAUUAAGUCAAAGUCAGCAUGGUUUCUGUGAAGAGAAAUCUUGCCUGACAAAUCUGUUAGAGUUCUUCAAGGAGUAACAAGCGGGGGGACAAAGGAGAGGCAGUGGAUGUCACUUACUUGGAUUUUCAGAAAGAAUUUGAUAAGAUGCCACACACGAGGCUGUUUAGCAAGAUAAAAUCUGAUAGCGUUACAGGAAAGAUACUGGCAUGAAUAGAGGAAUGGCUGACAGGCAGGAGGCAAUGAGUGAGAAUAAAAGAGGCCUUUUCUCGUUGGCAGCUAGUGACUAAUGGUGUUCCUCAGGGGUCAGUAUUGGAACCACUACUUUUCACAUUGUUUGUCGGUGAUUUGGAUAAUGGAAUCGAUGGCUUUGUGGUGAAGUUUGCAGAUGAGACGAAGAUAGGUGGAGGGGUAGGUGGAGCUGAGGAAGCAAUGUGAUUAUAGCAAGACUUAGACAUAUUGGAAGAAUGGACAAAAUAAUGGCAAAUGGAAUACAGUAUAUUAAUACAUUUUGGUAAAAAGAACAAUAGUGCAGACUGCUUUCUAAAAGGGGAGAAGGUUCAAAUAUUGGAAAUGUAGAGGGACUUAGGAGUCCUUAUGUAAGUCUCAUGGAAGGUUAAUUUACAGGUUGAGUCUGUGGUAAAGAAGGCAAAUGCAAUUUUGCCAUUUAUUUCAAGGAAAUAGAAUAUAAAAGCAAGGCAAUAAUGCUGAGGCUUUACAAGACAGAGAGCAGGAAGACUUACAGUCAGAUGACUGUGCAGUUCUGCGUAGACCCUGGUCCUGGAAGCAAAUAAUGAGGCUGAAGUGGAAUUAGACUUGAACAAUGCCAAACUCUGGUUUUAACAGGAUUCUCUUCACAGAUUUCACUGAAAAUUCUUCAGUGGACUUGGAGAUAACUUUUAAUAUUGUGGUAAUGAACAUGGAUUGUUAUUUGACUAUUGUUUUUAAGUGACCUGCUUCACAGCUGUUGCAUAAUAACUACUUUUAAUUUGGUCCAAAAGUCUGUUCUUCAGGCUUGUUUUAUUAUGGCACUUUUCAUGAAAAAGUCUGGAGCGAUCUUGCAAAAGACUAGAUGUUGAGUUAAUUGAAAUUGAUAAAAAUUUCUUUGUGUGAGGAUAUAAAGUGAUUUAAGUAAAGGCAGAUAAAUAGUGGAUGGUGCCAUACUUUCACCCACUCUCAUAUCCUAAUGAAUUUAGUAGGGGGGGGGGCUUCUUGAACAAUUCUUGUGGAAGUAGCACUCCCAUGCCAAUUAGAUCAUAGUUCAUGCGAUUGAGACAAAUUGCAUAGCCAGUUAUUUAUUGCUUUUUCAGUCUAUGUGCCUAUCGCUAAUGUAAUUUCAUAUGAAAAACUGCAAAUCUGUGCCUUUUCAGCAUUUUCUCUUUUCUAUAUCAGUAUUUGAUAUGCUAACUGUCUUUUUUUAUUAUUUU